AGCAUCACAAAGCUUGAAUCGCUUUAGGUCACUGUGUCCACCCAUAGCAAUCAGAUCAUUCCCUUCCUCCAACCGCCCUCACAGACCUGGCUGAUGUAAAGGCUGUGUAGAUGUCACGUGAAUGUGUUUGAUUUGCCUCUUUGGUUUCAAUGUUCUCCACCAAGUGUUGAGGUGCAUCUGAUGGAGAGAUAAUAACAUACACUGGUGUUAUGUGAUCAUCUCUCUAUCAGACAGGCCUUUGACUUCACCUCGGGGCCAGAGAGGCGAGAGACUCUUUUAAGCGUCAGGGCUAUGGGCUUUGAUGGGAUGUCACAGCCCCCUUCUCCUAGCAGCGGGAACCAUCUCCUACAGAGUUGUUGCGAGGCGCGGGUCACCUGCUGUGCUACAUGACUGCACAUCCCCAGGAACAAGAUUAUAUUUGGAACAACAAGCUCUACAGUCAACCCACAGCCCUUUUCUGUCUCCCUCUCUGCAUCACUUUCCCAUCAUCCCUUGUAGUGGUGCAGAGCUCCAGAGAACAGCUGUCAGUCACCUGUGGAGACAGUAUAAUAAGCUCCGACAACAAGACUGGGACUCAAAAUUGUGCCGCCGUCAAAUGUCCCUCCCAGUCGCAGUCAGCCUCCUUUGAAAUCUGCAUACUAGGAGAAGCUGGAAUAUUAAAGUGGGGCGUAGGGGCGGGUGAAUGAGAUGCAACGGGCACAGUUGGAAUCAGUGUGGAAUGAAGAUGAAAAUUCAUUCCCAGUUUUUGCUUUACCAUUUUUCACUGCCAAGAGCUUGGUCAGGUCCAAGGAGCAGAGAAUUGGCUGGCAAAUAUUCUGCUGAUCUAUGGCUUCAUACAGAUUUUUUUCACAGGACAGAGACUGCAGCAUUACUGCCAGAGAUGUAAAAAAAAAAAACCUGGUAGGACACCACUUGUAUACAGAUGGUCAGUCAGAGGAAGUGCCAAGUGAAAGUGAUGGGGUCACAUUGGGGUCAUGAUAGGGGCUGCACCAAAUGAUUGAUGUAUUAUAAUAAUUGAUUAUGCUUAUGUUGAAUUAAUAGAAGGGGAAGGGCUAUAAGACCCCUCCCCCACUACAGUGAGGGAAAAAAGUAUUUGAUCCCCUGCUGAUUUUGUACGUUCGCCCAC
rnacentral:lncRNA from 1 species